rnacentral:rRNA from 1 species
GUUCCUACGGGGGGCAGCAGUGGGGAAUAUUGCACAAUGGGGGAAACCCUGAUGCAGCGACGCCGCGUGAGUGAAGAAGUAAUUCGUUAUGUAAAGCUCUAUCAGCAGGGAAGAAAAUGACGGUACCUGAGUAAGAAGCCCCGGCUAACUACGUGCCAGCAGCCGCGGUAAUACGGAGGAUGCGAGCGUUAUCCGGAUUUAUUGGGUUUAAAGGGUGCGUAGGCGGGACGGUAAGUCAGCGGUAAAAAUGCGGAGCUCAACUCCGUCGAGCCGUUGAAACUGUCGUUCUUGAGUGAGCGAGAAGG